UGGUAGUGUAUUGGACAACCAUGGCUAUAACGGGUAACGGGGAAUUGGGGUUCGAUUCCGGAGAAGGAGCCUGAGAAACGGCUACUAUUUCUAAGGAAGGCAGCAGGCGCGUAAAUUACCCAAUCCUAACUCAGGGAGGUAGUUAAUAGAAAUAACACGUUCGGCUCUUUGAGCUCUGAACAUGUAAUGAGUUAAACGUAGACAACUUUUCGAAUCCUAUUGGAGGGCAAGUCUGGUGCCAGCAGCCGCGGUAAUUCCAGCUCCAAUAGCGUAUAUUAACGUUGUUGCAGUUAAAAAGCUCGUAGUUGAAACUCGGCGUUUCGCCUGUCCGGGAAGAGUCGGGAUACCCCCAGGGUUUCUCUUCUAUGAACGGACUUUUACUGUGAACAAAUUAAAGUGCUCAGAGCAGGCUUUUGCUUGAAUAGUCUAGCAUGGAAUAAUAAAAAACGACUUCGUUCAUUUUAUUGGUUAUUGAAUGAGGUAAUGAUUAACAGGAACAGUUGGGGGCAUUCGUAUUUGAUAGCUAGAGGUAAAAUUCUAUGAUUUAUCAAGGACGAACUAAUGCGAAAGCAUUUGCCAAGGAUGUUUUCAUUAAUCAAGAACGAAAGUUAGGGGAUCAAAGACGAUUAGA
rnacentral:rRNA from 1 species